rnacentral:sRNA from 1 species
GCUUAUCCACUUCUUCGUUUACCGCUUUUGCUCGUUCCACUCCGAGUUUCCUUCUUUUUUU